CUGCUGCCUUCCGUAGGAGUUUGGGCCGUGUCUCAGUCCCAAUGUGGCCGUUCACCCUCUCAGGCCGGCUACUGAUCGUUGCCUUGGUAGGCCAUUACCCCACCAACUAGCUAAUCAGACGCGGAACCAUCGUAUACCACCAGAGUUUUUCACACCGCUUCAUGCGAAGCUGUGCGCUUAUGCGGUAUUAGCACCUAUUUCUAAGUGUUAUCCCCCAGUAUACGGCAGGUUUUCCACGCGUUACUCACCCGUCCCGGACCCUAA
rnacentral:rRNA from 1 species